GCUUAGCUCCAGUGGUCCUAACUAAGCAUUGUCUAGCUAGCGUGUGAAACGAUAUCCACUACUCAUAAAGUACCAAUCGCGCUUCUCAUAACAUACUUGUCGCAUACCCUCAGAGACUUCACCACGUUUGUCUAACAUGAUUCCUUCGGCACAACCUCGAGACACAUACCACUCCGGACUGAGAUGGGUUUGCUCGACGAACAUGGACGCUGCGCGUUGGGGGGCAG